rnacentral:pre_miRNA from 1 species
UGUGUGUAUGUGUGUGUGUGUGUGUGUGUGUAUAUACACACUCACACACAUACAUACAUA